CUUAUCGCUGCUCAGGGAGGUUUUGUUCUGUGGAAUGCUGUUUCUCUCUUUGCGAUCAACCCUGCGUCUCUUUUCUUACUAGACAUUUUUGACUUUUAUGAAUUUACUUAGAAAAUCACAUUCUCAGAGUAAUCAGGAGUUCCUCUUUCUAGGAUGGGUUUGACCCUCCUGCCCUCCCCCACUGGAAAGUUUCCCUAAGACAGGUUUGCAAAAAAGCACUCGCGCAGUCUUUUCAACUCACGAUGACUGUUCACAAGGCACAAUUGUUUGUCUUCGACUUGGAAUUCAUCUCCAUUGAGCCAGGAACAAAAUCAAGGCGACAGAGGUUUUAAAAUUCAGACAGGAAGUUCUGCCCUUUUGACCCGGGAAACCAAGAGGAAGGUAAAUGUGGAGGCAUGGCUGCCCUGAGUGGUCAAUCUGGGUCCUAGCCAGGCCCCUGAGACUACCUAGCUGUGUGACGUCUGGCUGGCCCUCACUUCUUCAGGCCUCAUUAAUACCGUGAGGCCAAGACGACUUCAAAACUACUCUCGGUAUUAAAGAUAACGGAUAAGAUGUGCAGACUCUCCAAGCCAGACUUCAUGGGCUGUGGUACUUUGCUGAGUUAUCCAGUGUUUCUGCUCCAAGUUCGCAUGCCUGGGAUGGAGAAUUGAACCAGCUCAGAUGAGGAUCGCAUGCCCACUGUAGAGGCUGUGAUGGUGGCGUCUUGGGCUUGGUUGCAGAGCCUCAUGUGGAAGGUUGGAGGGCAGGUCCUCAAAGAAAUGGCUACCAGACAGACAUCCACUGCAUAGUGACCACUUUUCUUAGAGCCACUUGGGGCUUCAAUUCACUCAACCCCAGGGAUGAAUCACAAUGGAAGCCUCUUACUCCUUUGCCUAUGAUUGGACUAAAGAUGACAUGUAACCCAAAUCUGGGCUGUGAAAAAUAAUGCCAAGUCUACUGGGAACUUCUGGAAAGAUUUUCCUCCCUGAUGAGUCACAUGAAGAUAAAGAUUUUUUGUACUUUUUCUUCCUUCCUUCUUGGUGGGAAU